rnacentral:rRNA from 1 species
UUUUUUAAUUGAAAGCUGGGAUGAAAGGUAGAUACUGAGGGGGAGGUUUUAUAUUAUGAUUUUGAAGUUAAAUUAAGGGUAAAAAUGCUCUUAUGUAUCUUUGGGACGAGAAGACCCUAAAAGCUUAUAAUGAUUAAUUUUGGUUGGGGUAAUGGUUGAAGAGGAAGAUUUUUAAUAGGAUAGAUUUUUGUUGAUAGAAAGUUACUUUAGGGAUAACAGCGUUAUAUGGCUAGCAAGUUCUUAUUAAUAGCCAAGCUUGCGACCUCGAUGUUGAAUUAAAUUUUUUUUGAUUAAUGGAGAAGUUAGUUGAAUUAGUCUGUUCGACUAUUGAAAGUUUACAUGAUUUGAGUUCAAACCGGUUUAAGCCAGGUCGGUUCUUAUC